CCUACGGGAGGCAGCAGUGGGGAAUAUUGCGCAAUGGGCGAAAGCCUGACGCAGCGACGCCGCGUGAGGGAUGAAGGUCUUCGGAUCGUAAACCUCUGUCAGCAGGGAAGAACGGUCACUGUGCUAAUCAGCAGUGAAUUGACGGUACCUGCAAAGGAAGCACCGGCUAACUCCGUGCCAGCAGCCGCGGUAAUACGGAGGGUGCGAGCGUUAAUCGGAAUUACUGGGCGUAAAGCGCUCGUAGGCGGUAUGUCAAGUCAAGGGUGAAAUCCCCGCGCUCAACGUGGGAACUGCCUUUGAAACUGGCGAACUGGGGUGUGUGAGAGGAUAGUGGAAUUCCAGGUGUAGGAGUGAAAUCCGUAGAUAUCUGGAGGAACACCAGUGGCGAAGGCGGCUGUCUGGUCUGCAACUGACGCUGAGGCUCGAAAGCAUGGGUAGCGAACAGGAUUAGAUACCCUUGUAGU
rnacentral:rRNA from 1 species